UGUAUCAUGGUCUCUGAGGACAGGUGUCAAUCCAUAUCUGCCAAGUGACCCUAUGUAGGAGGAACAGUCUAUAUUCUGCUCUGUGUCAGUGUGUAUCAGGGGCUCUGAGGACAGGUGUCAAUCCAUAUCUGCUAAGUGACCCUAUGUUGGGGUAACAUUCCCUAUUCUGCUCUGUGUCAGUGUGUAUCAGGGAUCCUUAGGACAGGUGUCAAUCCAUAUCUGCCAAGUGACCUCAUGUUGGGGUAACAUUCCCUAUUCUGCUCUGUGUCAGUGUGUAUCAGGGGCUCUGGGGACAGGUGUCAAUCCAUAUCUGCCAAGUGACCCUAUGUAGGAGAACAGUCUCUAUUCUGCUCUGUGUCAGUGUGUAUCAGGGGCUCUGAGGACAGUUGUCAAUCCAUAUCUGCCA